AACAGAAGAGUUUGUGCCAUGGCUUUAAAUCCAUACGUAGAGAAAUAACAACACAGACUCUUUCAAGGCCCCGUAUUUGGAACGAGCACAUUUUAAAUCCUUGAGAGAGGUUUGAAUGGAGGGCAAGUCUGGUGCCAGCAGCUGUGGAAAUUCCAGCUCCAAUAGCCUAUAUUAAAGUUACUGCAGUUAAAAAGCUCGUAGUUGGAUGUUGGGAUCGAGCUGGCCAUCUGCCAUGAAGUGAGCCACCCCAUGGCCCAGCCCCUGCCUCUUGGCACCCCCUCGAUGCUCUUAGCUGACUGUCCUGUGGGGUACAAUGCGUUCACUUUGAGAAAAUUAGAGUGUUCAGAGCAGGCCGGGCACUGGCAUACUGCGGCUAGGAAUAACGCAACAGGACCAGGACAGCUGGCAAAGGCCACAGGGUGGUCAGCUUCGACAGGGAGCCCAUGCAGACCAAGUCCAAGAGCAAAGAGGAGCCUGACCCUGGUGAUGAAGA
rnacentral:ncRNA from 1 species